UACAGAGGUCUCGAGCGUUAGGCGGAAUCACUGGGCUUAAAGCGUGUGUAGGUGGAUGCCUAAGUACCUUGUGAAAUCCCACGGCUCACCCGUGGAACUGCUGGGUAUACUGGGCGUCUUGAGCCACCUAGGGGCCAGCGGAACAAAUGGUGGAGCGGUGAAAUGCGUAGAUAUCAUUUGGAACGCCAACGGUGAAAACAGCUGGCUGGGGGUGUGCUGACGCUGAGACACGAAAGCCAGGGGAGCGAACGGG
rnacentral:rRNA from 1 species